UUCUGGUUUUGUCUAUCCACCUCUCUUCCUUUCUGAUGGGGCACCAAUUUAUUACCCGGGGUUCAGUUUUAUGGGCAUUGGGCUCGCAUUGAUGAUUGCAUUCAUACAAAGUCUUAUGAUAAGGAUGCUCCUUCAACUUCCAAAUCACAAAAUCAGUACUGCACGUGGCCGAGGCCUAGUUCUCUGAAGCUUAUGAUCUACUCUAAUGUAAAAGGUUGCUUCCAUUAGGAAGAAGAAAAAGUUAAGUAACUACAAAUUAUGCGGUCAUGAGAGUAGUCAGUAUUCGCUGGCAUGAAGGAACUGCUCUGUUUCAGUAACUUUAGUCUUUCUCAGGUUCAUUAUUUGAACUUCAUAUACUAAAUUGCAGCAUAUUAACAUAUUGGUUUUUUGUUUGUGCUAUAGGAUUUGGAACAUUGCAGAGUCUCCUCAAUUAAAGUGAUUAAAAUCAGAAAUUUUUUCAUGGUAAAGAUUCCUAACCGCUAGCUUAUUUGUCUUCACAUAAUAACAUUGCAAGGUUUUCUCACAUUGAGAUCUGGUGUCACUGUCUUUGUUUCAUUUCAUCUCUCAGUUGAAACAAUAAUCUCUCCAACUUUUGCUACUUAUCUCAGUCAACAGUUUUUUUUUUUUUUUUCACAUCAUUAUAUGCUUAAAUUUGUUAGGGACUGAUUUUCUAAUAACUUUUUGUUAGAGCGAUUAUAUCAUUGUACUGUUUUGAUUUAUAGUGAAAAAUCUCUGUCAUACUAUUACCGUGGAUGUAG